GCCCGAAUGGCGGAAUGGUAGACGCCUUGGACUUAAAAUCCAAUGGGAUUUUUCCCGUGCCGGUUCGAGUCCGGCUUCGGGCA
rnacentral:tRNA from 1 species